rfam:Brachypodium distachyon strain Bd21 chromosome 4, whole genome shotgun sequence.
AACAUACUCUUUCCGUCCAACAAAAAAUGUCUCAAGUUUGUCAAAUUUUGUAUGUAGCUCGACAUGACUUAGUGUAUAAAUGCAUUCAAAUUUAAUCAAAAUUGAGACAUCCUUUGUUGGACGGAGGAAGUAUAAU